CCUACAGGUGGCAGCAGUGAGGAAUAUUGGUCAAUGGGCGCGAGCCUGAACCAGCCACGUCGCGUGAGGGAGGACGGCCCUACGGGUUGUAAACCUCUUUUGCCGGGGAGCAACGGGCGCCACGUGUGGCGUCACUGAGAUUACCCGGAGAAAAAGCAUGGGCUAAUUCCGUUCCAGCAGCCGCGUUCAUACGGAGGAUGCGAGCGGUAUCCGGAUUUAUUGGGUUUACAGGGAGCGUAGAUGGGUUGUUAAGUCAGUUGUGCAAGUUUGCGGCUCAACCGUAAAAUUGCAAUUGAUACUGGCAGCCUUGAGUACAGUUGAGGUAGGCGGAAUUCGUGGUGUAGCGGUGAAAUGCUUAGAUAUCACGAAGAACUCCGAUUGCGAAGGCAGCUUACUAAACUGCCACUGACAUUGAUGCUCGAAAGUGUGGGUAUCAAACAGGAUUAGAUACCCCUGUAGUC
rnacentral:rRNA from 1 species